UCUUAUCUGUGUUAUAUCGCGCAUAUUGUUGGAGACCUGAUUUACACGGAUUAAGGAGAGCUCUACAUCGUAUGUGAUUUGUGGUAACAAAACCUUCCAGGGGGCUAUUGGUAUCUCGAAACCUUAGACGUGAGGUGAUCCCUUGUAGCGAACGUGGGUGGAGACGAAGCUCUCAUGUGUCAGGCCUAACACUGAUUGAUGUCCUCACUUUGUCCUGGCUGCAAUGCAGUUCACAUGUGCCUUCGUCGAUGCAGUCCAUAUGAUAUAAUACAUGAACGUACGAGAUAACUCUACCUGUGACUUUGUUUCUCCAUGUCUCAACUAUUGUUAGUUGAUUACAUUUUUUUU
rnacentral:misc_RNA from 1 species